rnacentral:rRNA from 1 species
AUUGAACGCUGGCGGCAGGCCUAACACAUGCAAGUCGAGCGGAUGAGAGGAGCUUGCUUCUCGAUUCAGCGGCGGACGGGUGAGUAAUGCCUAGGAAUCUGCCUGGUAGUGGGGGACAACGUUUCGAAAGGAACGCUAAUACCGCAUACGUCCUACGGGAGAAAGCAGGGGACCUUCGGGCCUUGCGCUAUCAGAUGAGCCCAGGUCGGAUUAGCUAGUUGGUGAGGUAAUGGCUCACCAAGGCGACGAUCCGUAACUGGUCUGAGAGGAUGAUCAGUCACACUGGAACUGAGACACGGUCCAGACGCCUACGGGAGGCAGCAGUGGGGAAUAUUGGACAAUGGGCGAAAGCCUGAUCCAGCCAUGCCGCGUGUGUGAAGAAGGUCUUCGGAUUGUAAAGCACUUUAAGUUGGGAGGAAGGGUUGUAGAUUAAUACUCUGCAAUUUUGACGUUACCGACAGAAUAAGCACCGGCUAACUCUGUGCCAGCCGCCGCAGUAACAC